UUGGUUUGAAAGGGACGACACUACAGUGUUGCCACUUUUUAAUUUCUACUCUUUUUUGCUAAGCUGUUAAUAUGUGGAUGUUGAUUUUGUGCAUUUUGACUCAAGUUUACGAAUAAGUCGACAGGUAUGCCAAACUUUCAAUAGGUAUAUAUAUGAUUUCGUAUUAUUUGUAUUUUUCAUAGUUAUCAUUAUCAAACCAUAGUAAACCUUAUUUCAAUGCGAUAAGGUCUAUUAAAUAUUAAUUCCGUGUCUAAAUGUAUGAACUUUUUUAUUUACGACUACAAGUAUCUAGAAUUAACACAAUAAACCAAACAAUAUAGAUAUAAUUUAAAUAAAUUGAUACAGGUUCAAUGUUCCGGUUAAGGUACAUCCACACCACAGUUAAUUGCUCCACAAAAGCUAAGUGCAGUGUGGAUGCGCCUUUAGAUAAAUUAGUAUGGUGAUAUAAUAAAGUCCUGGUUAUACGAUAAACGAUUGAGUGCCUUGGGAUAAAACGAAGUAGGGACAGGUAAUGUACAAAUGUACAUAUGUUUAUUAUCACAACUAUUUGAUUCGUGGUCAGUUAAAAAUCAGCUCAGAAUAAAUAAUAUUACUAGGUAUAGUAUGAAUAGUAUGAAAUAUAGUAUGAACAUAGUAUGAAUUAUCUCAGGUGAUUUUUUCGAGUUCGGGUGCUAAUCCGUUAAACAAAAGCCUUUGUUUCUUUUAAGAGCGGUCUACAGCACGUGCCAAAGCAACCAUGUCGUUUAAAAAGCAACUAUCGUGAAAGUAUUAAGGUUCAAAUUCAUAUGAUAGCUUGUUCAGAGAACAAUCAGGGUGGUCUUGUUUUUGGAGAUAACAAAAACGUGUUAUCUCCGAAUGGGCUGUUUCAUGAAUCUGAACCAUAUAAUUAGAACGGUAAAUUUGCUUUUUAAACGGGCUUGUUCCCGUUACUUACGUCGGGACUAUUAGCAGUAAUAGCAGUAAACAUUAUAACCACUGCAUAAAGGAAACAAUACCUUUUGUUUAACAGAUUAGGGUCCGAGCCCGAAAAAAUCACCUGAGAUAAUUCAUACUAUACAGAAGAUUCACUCUCUAUCAAAACGCGUCUGUUACCAUUAGGGCAGAUAUGGCCGCUAGGUGGCGACAGCGCCACGCGCGGCUUAUGGCUAGCCACCAAAAUUGGUGUGGGACGGAUGUAUUUGUAGCUAGCUACCUGUUGCGAAGCGACGAAAUCGCGGAGUGAGCCACGCCUGGAAUCAGUGACAUCACACUGUGUUGCUAUAGCUCUAAACUUCUAUCACUACACCUUAUAAAACAAAGUCCCCCGCCGCGUCUGUCUGUUUGUGUGUAUGUUCGCGAUAAACUCAAAAACUACUGAACGGAUUUUCAUGCGGCUGGCACCUAUAGUUCGUUUUUUUAGCAUUAGAAAGAAGCACAAAGAAGUCAUUUGAUUGAAAAACGCUUUUUAAAAAUCAGUAACUAUUACAUAAGAAAGCAGAAGAAUAUAAAUGAUCGUAUUAGAAUCAUAAUUGUUACAUAUUUGCCGUGACUUAUUUUUAAAUCGUUUCUUUCGUUUCUUGGCUUAUUCCACUCAAAUAAUCAACACGAAUAAUAACACGUUUAAUAUGACUUGUUCUUACUGUAAAUUUGUUCUGACAAGUUAAAGAUUGUUAAGAGUUAAAGGAUAAGCCCAGGUAGUAUAAUAAACAAAGAAUUAGCGUGAACAAUGAAUUACUCACACACAAAGUUAUAUUAGUAACUUUCUAGCCAGACCUAGAAAGAGAUAGCUAUACACUAAAAGUGUGAGGAAACCAAAUUGUCUUACCAGUUAUUUGCUUCAGAGCGAAUAUCACAAAUCACAACGCGUAAUUUUAAUAUUUAUGUGUUUUUCAAUUAAAAGACACAUCAAGAUUGUUUACCUUUUUUCUAAUGCUAAAAAACACGAACUAUAUCAAUAAAGUGGUUCUUGACUAAGAUUUAGGUUAGUUGUUUUGUGUAAACCUUGCGAAGCCGGGUCGGGUCGCUAGUGCAAAAAAUAAGAUUAAGAGGCUAACUCUGCACCAACUUGAACACAACAAAGUGAGGGCAGAAAUUUGACAUUAAUUAUGACAUUGCCACACUUAGUCAUUGCAAAUUUAGAUUGCAUUGCAGAGUUAGCUUGGUCCAACUCUCAAUUCUUUUUCAUAUUUGAUAAUAAAAAAACCGGGCAAGGUCAAAGUCCUCAAAACAUUUAUCAAUGUAAAUAAACAGUAAUAAACCAAGAUCAUAUGUUUUUUAAGUAAAAAAAAACCUAAAUGUCAAUUGGAUCACGAAUGAAAUAGUUGUCAAAUAUUUAGUAAAUAAAUAUUAAGAUUUUUAGGUAAAGUAAGGACGCUGAGCACAAAGAAUUUAGUACAUUGACCCGCCUGUUCCUAUCUCCAUCGCACGCCUAUAAUUAUAUGUAUUGCUGUCCCGUUCGGACAGUGGUUACCGCCGGCAUAUUGGGAGAGAUAUCGGUAUAAUUACGCGCGUGUAAUAGAGAUAAGAACAAGCGGGUCAAUGAACGAAAUUCUUCUUGCUCAGCGUCCUUACAUUACUAUUUCAAACCAUUUAAACUUUGUUUAAUGAUUUACUGCCUAUUGAUCUAUUGAAUACUUUUUAAUUGUAAUAUGUACUUGUAAAUAUUUAGUAGCGUACUUUUCUCUUUUAAUUAUUGUUUCUUAAAUCGAAGACUAUGUGUUUAUGGGUUUUAUUUUCUGUAUAUAAAAUGCUAGUUUUGCAGUGAAAUGUUAUGACACAUAUCCCAUAAAUUUAAAAAUCAAAAUAUAAAUGAAAUACAUAUGACCAUCACCUCCUAGGUGCUAUAUAGCUAAAAAAGAAAAAAAAAUAGAAAUAAAAGCAUUAAUAUAGAGACGUAGUUUCUGUUUUAUUAUACUUCUGGAGCUGAUUUGAAAACUAUACUCAAACACACGCACUUUGUCAGUAUAAAAAGGCGCGAAAUUCAAAUUUUCUAUGGGAAGUCAACUUCGCGCCUAGUUUUUUUAAAUUUUCUACUGAAAAGCUUGGUGUGUCAAAGUAUAUGAGAUAAUUAUUAGAAUCAUUGUAAUUACAGUUUAUUAAAUUCUUGCCAAUCCGGUAGAUUUUGUAUGACACGAGGUCCUAAUGGCGAAUUUCCACGCUUGACAAGUUUCGUUAAACCAAAGAUUCAGAGAUGUGUAAAGGCGCAGUAAUGUGUUUAUUACCUUGGGAAAACACAUUGAAAAGGGCCUCGCAGAUUUGUCGCCCAUGGCUAGAUUGGUUCACGAUACGCCACUGUCACCAUAGAAUCGCUGAGUAGCUAGAUCAGUGCCCCAAACGCGUUAGUUCCGCGUAGCAUUAUUCCCGAUCGAAUUUUUCCCCACUCGCGUUAGUUCCGGGUAGUAUUAUUCCCGGUCGCAUUUUUCCCCACUCGCGUUAGUUCCGGGUAGCAUUAUUCCCGGUCGCAUGUUUCCCCACUAGCGUUAGUUCCGCGUUCCGCGUAGCGUUCACAACUGAGCUAGACAGAGCCCCGCUUCGCGGAGCUCCUAUUUCUGGGCGGUUUGCCCUUCGGGCAUCUGAAGCUACCUAACGAACCUAACCUAUUAAUUUAGUGUGUCGUCCAUGAAAAGUGGGGAAAAAUGCGACCGGGAAUAAUUGUACGCGGAACUAACGCGAGUGGGGAAAAAUGCGAUCGGGAAUAAUGCUACGCGGAACUAACGCGAGUGGGGAAAAAUGCGAUCGGGAAUAAUGCUAUGCGGAACUAUAUAACGCGUUUGGGGCACUGAUCUAGCUACUCGUAUCGCUUUGUGCCUCUGUCACUCUUUCAUAUUAGUGUGACAGUGACGGUUGCGUUUCGUUCGCUACGUAGCGUUAGUGGCAUGUUGUCUACGGGGCCUGAGGGGGCAAGUUUAUAUUGAUGUGUAAGUUUAUAUUGAUCUACUUGUCUAAUUUUACGAGGGUAAUUCGCCAGUGACUGGCCACCCUAAACUAAAAAUGAAUUCUAUUCACCUAUACACAGAAUUCAUUUUAGUAUAAGGUGGCUAGAUAUUGAAAGCUGGCCAGUUAUUUAAACCUUAUACUAAAAUGAAUUCUGUUCAUAGGUGAUUAGAAUACAUUUUUAGUUUAGAGUGCCCAGUUACUGGCGAAUAUAAAGUUCUUUAUGUCAUUUGUUUAAAAGUCGUUAAUAAGUGGUUCGAAUCGCCUAGUUUUGCUAGAAUACUUACUUAUAUUUUAAUUUCUAAUUUGACAAGUUUGUAUAUACGACGCUUCAUUUAAUAUUUUGUCUAUUGUGUACAUUUUAAACCAAUUAUAAAUAUUUUAUUGAGUCUCAA